CUUGGGUUAGGUUAUAAGUGUAUUUGUAACUUUAUGAAAAACUUGCAAACUGUUUGUCAAAGUGGCUACAUCAUUACACAUUUCCACCAGAAAUGUAUGAGUAUCUAGCUGUUCCACAUCAUUACCAACAAUUGGCAUUGUCUGGUUGUUUGUUAGCAUAUUUUUUCUUUUUUUUUUUUCAGCCUUUCUAGUGUGUACUUAGAAGUAUCUGCUUUAAAUUUCAUUUUCUUAAUGACUACUGCUGCUAACUAUCUUUUCUUGUCAUUUAUCAUCCAUAUACAUUAUGAAUUACCUGCUCAAAUAUUUCUGCUCAUUUUUUGAAUGGCAAGAGGUUAUGGCAGAAUAAAGAGACUUAAGAGAGAAUGGAGGGAAAAUUGAUAAAGCAAAAGGAAUCAAGCUGAAAAUUCACAAAGAUAGAAGAAGAAUGAAGUUCAAAAUACAAAUGCCUGGGUUGGCUUUGGACAAAAGAAGCACUACUUCAUUUGAAGUUGGGCAGCAACAGGAAUAGAAUAUUCCAGACAGGAGCUGUUCCUUUAACCUGGAUCACAGAAUGGAAUUUCAAGUGAAGCAGACCUUUAGUCAACCCAUAGACCUACAGCGGAGCCACAGACAAAUCUCAGGCUUCAUACAUGAGAAAUAAAUUGAUGUUUAUUUGUGUAAACCAUUUUAAUUUAGUAGGCUGUUUCUUACCUCAGAAAAAGCUAACCAAUACAAUUUCUUAUGAUGAUCAUGUGUUAUAAUGGAUACAUUGUUAUUACAUACGUAAAUGAAUGAUUAUUUUCCCUUUCCCAAACAAUUAGAAAAGUUUGGUUUUUAAUGAGUGACAAAAUAUUGUCCUUUG
rnacentral:lncRNA from 1 species